rnacentral:rRNA from 1 species
GACGGGGGGGGCAGGUGUUCUUCGGAAUGACUGGGCGUAAAGGGCACGUAGGCGGUGAAUCGGGUUGAAAGUGAAAGUCGCCAAAAAGUGGCGGAAUGCUCUCGAAACCAAUUCACUUGAGUGAGACAGAGGAGAGUGGAAUUUCGUGUGUAGGGGUGAAAUCCGUAAAUAUACGAAGGAACGCCAAAAGCGAAGGCAGCUCUCUGGGUCCCUACCGACGCUGGGGUGCGAAAGCAUGGGGACGCGAACAGG